rnacentral:RNase_P_RNA from 2 species
GCAGUGUGAAGCCGGCUUUUAGGAGAGAAAUCUCUUGGGAAGGUCUGAGGAACCGCCAGUAGCUCUUAGCUGGAGCUCUCGAGAAUUCGAGAGAGACUUACCAGAAAUACACCCGCAAGGGAUGGAAAUGGUCUCUGGUAGAUUACGGCAGUGCGAUAAGCCGGGCGUCAUUCGAUGUAACCCAAUUCAGACUACUCUCACGCUGC